rnacentral:rRNA from 1 species
UACGUAGGGUGCGAGCGUUGUCCGGAAUUACUGGGCGUAAAGAGCUCGUAGGUGGUUUGUCGCGUUGUCCGUGAAAACUCACAGCUUAACUGUGGGCGUGCGGGCGAUACGGGCAGACUGGAGUACUGCAGGGGAGACUGGAAUUCCUGGUGUAGCGGUGAAAUGCGCAGAUAUCAGGAAGAACACCCGUGGCUAAGGCGGCUCUCUAGUACGUGACUGACGCUGAGACGCGAAAGCGUGGGGAGCGAACAGG